rnacentral:piRNA from 1 species
GCUCCCUGGUGGUCUAGUGGUUAG